GACGCAGCCAUGCCGCGUGAAUGAUGAAGGUCUUAGGAUUGUAAAAUUCUUUCACCGGGGAAGAUAAUGACGGUACCCGGCGAAUAAGCCACGGCUAACUACGUGCCAGCAGCCGCGGUAAUACGUAGGUGGCAAGCGUUGUCCGGAUUUAUUGGGCGUAAAGAGCGCGCAGGCGGUGCGCCAAGUCCGAGGUGAAAUCUCCCGGCUCAACUGGGAGGGGUCUUCGGAUACUGGCGGACUUGAGGAGAGCAGAGGUGAGUGGAAUUCUCGGUGUAGUGGUGAAAUGCGUAGAUAUCGAGAGGAACACCAGCGGCGAAGGCGGCUCUCUGGACCGAUACUGACGCUGAGGCGCGAAAGCGUGGGGAGCAAACAGGAUUAGAUACCCUGGUAGUCCACGCUGUAAACGAUGUGUGCUAGACGUUGGGGAGCCUAGCUCUUCGGUGUCGCAGCUAACGCGGUAAGCACACCGCCUGGGGAGUACGGCCGCAAGGUUAAAACUUAAAGGAAUUGACG
rnacentral:rRNA from 1 species